AACGCUGGCGGCAGGCCUAACACAUGCAAGUCGAGCGGCAGCGGGGAGUAGCUUGCUACUCUGCCGGCGAGCGGCGGACGGGUGAGUAAAGUCUGGGGAUCUGGCUUAUGGAGGGGGAUAACCAUUGGAAACGGUGGCUAAUACCGCAUGAUGUCGCAAGACCAAAGUGGGGGACUUUAGGGCCUCACGCCAUAAGAUGAACCCAGAUGAGAUUAGCUAGUAGGUGCGGUAAUGGCGUACCUAGGCGACGAUCUCUAGCUGGUCUGAGAGGAUGACCAGCCACACUGGAACUGAGAGACGGUCCAGACUCCUACGGGAGGCAGCAGUGGGGAAUAUUGCACAAUGGGCGGAAGCCUGAUGCAGCCAUGCCGCGUGUGUGAAGAAGGCCUUAGGGUUGUAAAGCACUUUCAGCGGGGAGGAAGGCGGUAAGAGUAAUAUGCUUAUCGA
rnacentral:rRNA from 1 species